rnacentral:rRNA from 1 species
UACGAAGGGGGCAAGCGUUGUUCGGAAUUACUGGGCGUAAAGGGCGCGUAGGCGGCUCAGUAAGUCAGGUGUGAAAACUCCAGGCUCAACCUGGAGACGCCACUUGAUACUGCUGUGGCUAGAGUCCGGUAGGGGAGCAUGGAAUUCCUGGUGUAGCGGUGAAAUGCGCAGAUAUCAGGAGGAACACCAGUGGCGAAGGCGGUGCUCUGGGCCGGAACUGACGCUGAGGAGCGAAAGCGUGGGGAGCAAACAGG